rnacentral:rRNA from 1 species
AUUGAACGCUGGCGGCAGGCCUAACACAUGCAAGUCGAACGAGUGGCGGACGGGUGAGUAAUGUCUGGGAAACUGCCCGAUGGAGGGGGAUAACUACUGGCAACGGUAGCUAAUACCGCAUACCAUUGGAUGUUCACAGAUUGCAUUAGCUAGUAGGUGGGGUAACGGCUCACCUAUGCCACGAUCCCUAGCUGGUCUGCGCGGAUGACCAGCCACACUGGAACUGAGACACGGUCCAGACUCCUACGGGAGGCAGAAGUGGGGAAUAUUGCGCAAUGGGCGCAAGCCUGAUGCAGCCAUGCCGCGUGUAUGAAGAAGGCCUUCGGGUUGUAAAGGACUUUCAGCGAGGAGGCGGUACUCGAAGAAGAAGCACCGGCUAACUCCGUGCCAGCAGCCGCGGUAAUAC